GCCAAAGCACUGAUUAGUCGUGCACGCCCGCACACACGCGCGCGCACACACACCCCUCCCCGGAGCCCCGGACGCGCCACCACAAAGCAAUUUGUUCACACUAAGUCGCUGCUGCUGCUGCCGCCGCUGGGGAGGGUCUCGCCUCCAAUCCAGGAAGCCGGCGCCCGAGGAGAGGCAGGCGGGGGCGAGAGGCGGUCCCGGCUCGGGCACUGCGGCUCCGCCGGGAGCCCCGGGCUCCCCGCCCCCUCCCCGCUCCGUGGCGUCGCCCCCGCCGCGGCGCCCGCAGCCCCCGGCGCCAGCUCGGGCCGACGGUCCCUACCUGCGGGAGCCCAGCGGCCCGGAGCCCGCGCCAACUCUCGCAUCGCCCUGGAGCGGCGGCCGCGGCCACCCGGAGUCGAGCGCCCCGGUGCGCGGAGGAAGAGGCCACGCAGCGCGCGGGGAGUCGCGGGCCGGCGGCGAGCGGACGAGCGAGCGAGCGCCCCCCCCUCCCCCGCCUGCCUGCAAGGCCAGGUCUCCGCGCCGCGCCAGCCGGGCCCGCCGCGCGCGCCCCGGGCCUGGGCGGGGGACUGCUCCGGGGCGGCCCGGGCGCGGCGCGGUCACCUGCCGGGCAGUCGCCCCGCGUCCGCCCGGGUCUGGCGCCGGCGCGGCGGCGGCGACGCAACGCGCGAACCCCGGGGCGCGGCUGGGGGCAGCGGGGGGCACCGGGGGGCACCGGGGGCGUUUACUACCUUGAAGGGCUCCGCGCCGCUUGUUAAGGCUUCUCCCGGGCACUCAGAAAUGUAUGUCUUCGGGGCUCGGGGGUGUCUUUCCUGGUCCCCUCCUCCGCCCUCCCUCCCCUUCUCGGCUGUUGGGCUCCUUCUCUCCACUCCCAGUUGCAGAGUCGAGCUGCGUUUUUUAAUGAUCCUCCUCCUCCUCCUGCAGCCUGCGCCCGCAGCGCCGCUCUGCCUGAGCCACCGCUUCCCCGGCAGUCAUGUUGAGAGAGAGAGAGAGGGACACGGAUUGGCAGUCGGUCGGCGACUGUCUGUGGGGAGAGAGAGCGGAGCAGAGCAAGAGGAGGGCAGGGGAGGGACGUGGGGAGGCGCUUGCAAGUGUGUGAGUGCGCGGAGUGUGAGUGCGCGGGGAGCGCCGAGGCCCCGGGCGCCAGGCCGCGCUCCCCGACUGCGGAGGGGGCGGCGGCGAGCUCGGCCUUUAUAG
rnacentral:lncRNA from 1 species